rnacentral:lncRNA from 1 species
CAUUUGCAGCUGUCAUUCUCAUCUUAGAGCUGAGAUCCUGAGGUGACCCCUCAGCCUCCUCGCCCUGGGAGGUGCUGGCCUUGCUCCUUGGGGGAGAGCGGGUGAUCCUGGCCUCUAGGAAAGCUGAAGAAUACAGGGAGCAAAGUUCAACUGUAGUCUAAAGACCCUGUGACUUCCAUUUUCCAGGAGGGACUGCUACUUAAUCUGCUGAGUCCAAAGCAUGGACUAGAUUGAGGUGUGAGAAAAUUAUGUGAAGUGCCUGUGCUGGUGAAAGCCUGACAAAAGGAAACAACCCUGUUCUUCUCAGAGAAUGUGAAAGCAAAUACCUCAUUUGAAAUUGCUGGGGACGCCUGGUUUCUCACAUGAAGUUGGGAGCACACUAGGAGCCUUUCCCAACACACAGCGCUCUAUUCAAUGCGAUGCAGAGCAGAAACAAACCAAUGCUGGGACCAAACAUGUGGUAUGGAUUGUGAUUACAAAGAUCAGUAAUGAGGACAGCACCCUACAGUUACUCCAGUGGUUUCUGCUAGCCACAGUUUCCUGUGCAACCUGA